AUUGAACGCUGGCGGCAGGCCUAACACAUGCAAGUCGAGCGAGCGGCGGACGGGUGAGUACUGUAUGGGGACUGCCCGAUAGAGGGGGAUAACUACUGGAAACGGUAGCUAAUACCGCAUACUAUCGGAUAACCCAUAUGGGAUUAGCUAGUAGGUGAGGUAAUGGGUCACCUAGGCGACGAUCCCUAGCUGGGCUGAGAGGAUGAUCAGGCACAACUGGAAUGGGACCCGGCCCACAUCCCAAGGGAGGGAGCAGUGGGGAAUAUUGCAAAAUGGGGCGAAGCCUGACGCAGACAUGGCGGGUGUUUGAAGAAGGCCCUAGGGUUGUAAAGUACUUUUAGGUGGGAGGCGUUACCGACAGAAGAAGCACCGGCUAACUCCGUGCCAGCAGCCGCGGUAAUUC
rnacentral:rRNA from 1 species